rnacentral:rRNA from 1 species
GAUGAACGCUAGCGGCAGGCCUAACACAUGCAAGUCGAGGGAGAAGCCCUUUCGGGGGCAGAAACCGGCGCACGGGUGCGUAACGCGUAUGCAACCUACCUUUCACAGGGGGAUAGCCCGAAGAAAUUUGGAUUAAUACCCCAUAAUAUUAUUGGAUGGCAUCAUUUGAUAAUUAAAGCUACGACGGUGAAAGAUGGGCAUGCGUCCUAUUAGCUAGUUGGAGUGGUAACGGCACCCCAAGGCUACGAUAGGUAGGGGUCCUGAGAGGGAGAUCCCCCACACUGGUACUGAGACAGGGACCAGACUCCUACGGGAGGCAGCAGUGAGGAAUAUUGGUCAAUGGUCGGAAGACUGAACCAGCCAUGCCGCGUGCAGGAAGAAUGCCUUAUGGGUUGUAAACUGCUUUUAUAUGGGAAGAAUAAGGCGUACGUGUACGUNGA